UUCAUCUCUUUAGGGUCCACGUCGAGGUCCUGCAGUGAGGAGGGGAAAUGGAGUUCAUGCUGAUGUGCUGACCUGUGAGAAGUCGGUGACGUGAGCCUGACAGAACGACAUGUCUUCGGGCUUCUUAACGAUCCACUCUGUCCAGCACCACAGUGAUCUUCUCGUCGUCCAGCAGCCGCUUCUUCAAAAACUUGACAAACACGCCGUUGGUGA